CCAAUAGCGUAUAUUAAAGUUGCUGCAGUUAAAAAGCUCGUAGUUGAAUUUCGGGACCAAUAUGUCGGUCGUGCCUCGGUACGUACUGGCAUCGUUGGUUUCUCCCUUCUGACGAACCAUGAUGUCAUUUAUUUGGUGUCGUGGGGAAUCAGGACUGUUACUUUGAAAAAAUUAGCGUGUUUAAAGCAGGCUCACGCUUGAAUACAUUAGCAUGGAAUAAUUAAAUAGGACGUUUGAUCCUAUUUUGUUGGUUUCUAGGAUCGACGUAAUGAUUAAUAGGGAUAGUUGGGGGCAUUAGUAUUCAAUUGUCAGAGGUGAAAUUCUUGGAUUUAUUGAAGACUAACUACUGCGAAAGCAUUUGCCAAGGAUGUUUUCAUUAAUCAAGAACGAAAGUUAGGGGAUCGAAGACGAUCAGAUACCGUCGUAGUUUUAACCAUAAACUAUGCCGACUAGGGAUCGGAUGAUGUUAAUUUUUUAAUGACUCAUUCGGCGCCUUACG
rnacentral:rRNA from 1 species